UCCCCGUUACCGGGGCAGUCUAGCUAGACAAUUCAACUAACUAAAAGGGUUGCGCUCGUUGAUGGACUUAACCAAACAUCUCACGACACGAGCUGACGACGGCCAUGCAACACCUGUCACUGGGUUCCCGAAGGCACGGUUUCCUUUCGGAAACUUUCCCAGGAUGUCAAACCUUGGUAAGGUUCUUCGCUUAUCAUCGAAUUAAACAACACACUCCACCGCUUGUGCGGGUCCCCGUCAAUUCCUUUGAGUUUUAAGCUUGCGCUCGUACUACUCAGGCGGCUUGCUUAACGCGUUAGCUUCGCUACUACCCGGGUCGAUACGGAUAACAGCUAGCAAGCAUCGUUUAGGGCGUGGACUAC
rnacentral:misc_RNA from 1 species